AUUUUAUAGGACUAACAUAUCAAUUACAAUAUUUUGUCAUUUGAAGAAUGAUUUGCAGACUUUUUUAGCCGGUGUGUACAAACCCUUUAUCCAACCUUAUGCUAUUUCGCAUAGGCGGCGAGAAGCACACCGGACAUACACAUGCACAAUCAACUAUAGCGAGGAUCUUCCGCUUGCGCAAGGAAUAAAGUUCGGUUAGGUCAAGCGGCUGCCAAAGGAAAUGAAGCACCACUAAAAACAAGUUUUCGAUGGCAAACGUCAAACAAUCGCAGGCUUGUAACAAAAAAAAUAUGUGUCUUAGUGUCCUAACUUAUGAAAAGUCGAGGUAACGUGUCGAAAGGGUUGAAUAAAAAUUAAGUCACUUGCUAA